rnacentral:rRNA from 1 species
UACGUAGGGUGCAAGCGUUGUCCGGAAUUAUUGGGCGUAAAGAGCGUGUAGGCGGCCAGGUAGGUCUGCUGUGAAAACUCGAGGCUCAACCUCGAGACGUCGGCGGAAACCAUCUGGCUAGAGUCCGGAAGAGGAGAGUGGAAUUCCUGGUGUAGCGGUGAAAUGCGCAGAUAUCAGGAAGAACACCAAUGGCGAAAGCAGCUUUCUGGGACGGUACUGACGCUGAGACGCGAAAGCGUGGGGAGCGAACAGG